rnacentral:rRNA from 1 species
AACGAACGCUGGCGGCGUGUUUAAGACAUGCAAGUCGCACGGAAGAUUUGUGAAGCUUGCUUUACGGAUCUUUAGUGGCGCACGGGUGAGUAACACGUGAGUUACAUGCCCUGUAGAGGGGGAUAGCCCGGGGAAACUCGGACUAAUACCCCAUAGUCCCGCGAGGGUCAAGGUGGCCGCAAGGUUUUCGCUGCAGGAUUGGCUCGCGUACUAUCAGCUAGUUGGUGAGGUAACGGCUCACCAAGGCGACGACGGGUACCUGGUCUGAGAGGACGAUCAGGCACACUGGAACUGAGACACGGUCCAGACACCUACGGGUGGCAGCAGUCGAGAAUCAUUCACAAUGGGGGCAACCCUGAUGGUGCAACGCCGCGUGGAGGAUGAAGGUCUUCGGAUUGUAAACUCCUGUCAUCUGGGAGUAAGACCUGGCUAUGAAUAGUAGACAGGGUUGAUAGUACCAGAAGAGGAAGGGACGGCUAACUUCGUGCCAGCCGCCGCGGUAAGAC